CAAAUACCAGCCAUUCUGAGAAUCUUGGCUCGACUGGUCCUAUCUCAAAGAUAGGAUUUACAUGAAGAGGAGUUGGCCCCAUAGGUGUAAGGUACUCUUUCAUUCCACCUCGUAUGAUUUUGCAUCUGAUAACGGGAUAUGAUCAAAUGUUAGUCCUCAACAAGAGCUGAAGAAUAGAUGGAACAGAGAAAAUGGCUGUAGCGUAAAAAGAUUAUCAAACAUUUGCAAGAACCCAGGACGUUUGGUGGGAGAUUUUUCUCAGAUGUCUAAAACUGCCUGAUAGAAAUGCUAUCUCCUCCAUUUUUAGUCUUCUAAGUAGCUUUAGAAAACAGGCACUUGUCUUGAAAUAGUAUGCAUCAUGUAAUAUUGAGGCAUAGUGUCUAGAGUCUAAGGUGUGAAUAGAAUGCCAAGAUAUGAAAUAGAAAAUAUACUUGAGAUCUAGAAAGCCGCUCAUCUCAAUUGCCCCACAGAAUGUGACCUCACCAUCACCCUGAGAAAAGUGCAUAUCGCCGGUACUAAGAUUUGCUCCAUCCACAAAUACUGGAAGGUAUAUUUUUGAACCUCUGCUUAGAUUUUUGAUGUCACAAUUUCCUCCAUUUUCUCUUCCUGGAAUUGUCCUCGCAGCCUCCAUAGCAAUUUUUUUCCAUUCAGGAGUUCCCUCUUGGAUCUAGCACAUACUCAUUCCCACCACAUAGUAAAUUAAUGUUAGUAUCACAAAUCUCUAAGCUCUUGAUUUUUCUAGAGCAUAUAUUAAUUUUCACGUAGGAAAUGUUUAUUAGUUUAAGUCAGCUUCAUGAUGUGUAUCUAUUGGUUCUGAGCCAUGAAGAUUUGCAAAAUUCUGUAAUUUUCUACUAAACUAAAGUACUACACUUAAAUACUCAAAUUGCUUUUAUUUUAUGAGUAGUAAUAUUUCAUACUUGUCCAAGCAAGCAGCCCUUGGUCAAUGGUAGUUUUGCCAAUGGUCGCGUAUGCAAGACCUCACAUAAUUUGAGGGAUUGAAGACCAGUUUCUUCAAGUUCGCUUUCCCUUUCAUUCCAUAUCUUCAGGAGUUCCAUUGAUGGGGCAGUUCCAAUUAUGCCAGGGUGAGUUAAACCUGGAAAUCGUACCCCUGAAUGUGUACAAACCUAUUUCAGGACAUAUACAUCCGUGUACAUUUAUUUUCAUUCAACACAGAUAUGAACUAGUUUCUUGAAGAACUUUUUUUAAGCAUAAGUGGUUUUAGAAACAAUAAAGAGGUAGAAAAAGUCACCCGGUAUGUGAGGAGAGUAGGCAUAAAUUCCUUCGAAGUACCAAAUAGCUUUGGUUGCACAAGGGAAAUGAUCAGUCAAAAAACCACCUCCAUUUUCUCUAUCAAAUGUUGCUGUAUAACCCCAUUCAUCUCCAGGCAGAGGACCCAAGUUGCAUAUUUCAACUGCAAGAAGAUCACCUGGCUUCGCUGGAAUUCCUUGUUCAUCCACAACUUUGAUCGGUCCGCUGAGAUAAUGCACCUGGUGAACAAUUUACAAAUACCUUUAGGAUUUUUGUUAUUUCAAAACAACUAAUGUCUUUUAAUAAAUUAAUUUUCAGACUCAAGUAACUUAUGUUUAUCUAAAUGUCAGCUAGACCUGUCGCAAAGGUUUUAAUUUGUUUGUAUGCGAGGUGUUUCUUUUGGGUAUGUUAUAGUGGCUGCUUAAUUACAUUAAGAAGAUCGCUUUGUUCAGAAGAAUACAGUUGAUACUUGCCGUGGAGUGGAGGGGUCUAUUGUUUUUGUAUAUUGUUAUCUUUGACAUCUCUACUCAGAACGUAAUUCAUUUGCUCAUAGCUAAUGCCUUAGGCCGGUCGCCGGCAUCCCAAAUGUGUAGAGGUCCACUGAGAUUAUAUAUUAGUUACACUGAAAGAGUUUCUUUAGAGUUAAGUAAAUACAUUUAAAUUGAUACUUACUGUGGAGAGGUCUGAGGUUUUCACAUCAAUUGCAGAAUCAUUAUCUUUUAUCGCACCCCCAGUAAAAUCUACCAUCUCUACUCUGAAAAGCUCACCAACUUUAACUUCUGCCACCGGAGGAAUCUCGGGGUGCCAUCUGUUGUGAAGGGUUAGCUUUUGCUCAUUUGGUUUCUUCUUCAAGUCUAUUGGCACUACCACCGUUGGGGUUGUUGGAGCCAUGGAUGAAUCUGUAAAGAUUCAGAGAGUUUCAAGAUUCUUAUAUUUUUGACGAUUUAUUAGAUUAAUCAAAUUUCGGUUUAUUGCAGAAAAAGAAGUCGACACGUCCGGAUGGGAUACUUGAUAGCUGAGAGCUGACUGACAAACUGGGGGACAAAUUUUUCCAAUGACUCUGCUCAGGCUUAAGAUUUUAUCCAGUGUGGAGCUAUUUGCACCCUAUAAUAUAUUUGAACACCUAUAUUUUAAUGAAAAAGAUGUAAAUUUAUUAUUCAAAACAAUAUGACACUAAAAAAUAGAAUACAAUUAGUAAUCUUGACAUCCACCUAACACACCCAUACAACUUACAGUUAUUAUAAAAAGAAAUAAGAUCAAAUAAUGAUAGAUUUGGCAUUUAAAAGGGUGUGCAGGGCAAAACUUAGUUAAAG
rnacentral:lncRNA from 1 species